AAGUUCUGAAGCCUCCUCGUGUCAUGUGGUUUCUUUUCUGAUUCGGUUCUACCAUACCGCUCUCUUGGUCCAGUGUCACCAAAUUGUGUCCGACUUUACUUUCUCAUGGUUGCAUCAACUUCCGGGGUGCCUUAUCAGAAUAAGUAUGAGGGGUGUCUUUCAUCCACUACCAUUGAUCCCGGAUUCGUCCAACCAUUUCUCAUCACUCUGUACACAC
rnacentral:lncRNA from 1 species